UAUGUAUUUAUUCUCACAUUAGCAAAAUUAAGCUGAUAUCAUGCAGCUUUGGCACGCUUUUAAGCAUAAAUGAAUUUCUCCUAAAUCUCACUUCAUGUAUAAACUUCCUAACAAAACAUCCCUUUUAUAAGAUUCAGAAUCAGGAAUA